UAGGGAAUCUUCCGCAAUGGGCGAAAGCCUGACGGAGCAACGCCGCGUGAGUGAUGAAGGUCUUCGGAUCGUAAAACUAUGUUAUUAGGGAAGAACAAAUGUGUAAGUAACUAUGCACGUCUUGACGGUACCUAAUCAGAAAGCCACGGCUAACUACGUGCCAGCAGCCGCGGUAAUACGUAGGUGGCAAGCGUUAUCCGGAAUUAUUGGGCGUAAAGCGCGCGUAGGCGGUUUUUUAAGUCUGAUGUGAAAGCCCACGGCUCAACCGUGGAGGGUCAUUGGAAACUGGAAAACUUGAGUGCAGAAGAGGAAAGUGGAAUUCCAUGUGUAGCGGUGAAAUGCGCAGAGAUAUGGAGGAACACCAGUGGCGAAGGCGACUUUCUGGUCUGUAACUGACGCUGAUGUGCGAAAGCGUGGGGAUCAAACAGG
rnacentral:rRNA from 1 species